rfam:Lingula anatina scaffold24, whole genome shotgun sequence.
GGUUCUGUAGUGUAGUGGUCAUCACGUCUGCUUUACACGCAUAAGGUCCCAGGUUCGAAACCUGGCAGGACCA